ACGACCAGGACUAACUUCUCUUUCUAAAAAUGACCGAAACAGUGGUGGGGGACGUAUGUGCAGACAUGUAGCACACUUUGUCAUGGAUCGUCUCCUUUAUGGGCCCAGUAUUCGGUCGGACCUGAUACCUCAGUGGACGGUAGUGGUCGCUUUCUUUACCUACUUGAUCAACGACAAUGUAGAGAGCAAACAGGCGGUUUUAAUAGAAAACCUAUUGGAGAUGAUUUUGGAUGUUCAGCUGGACCAGAGCUGCUGGGUGCGGAAGAUCGGGGUAUGCCCCGGAGAAUUUGAAUAAGGAACUCGUGGUGCGGUACUGCAAUCAGAUACUGGGCAUUUUAAUGAACUGUUUGGAUUAUCACAAUUUGGGGAACGAAAGCGAGCUGAUCCUGGAGUCCCUGCAAUCCUUCUCGAAACUCCUGAACAGUUUGCCAGGGUACAAAUUCAGUUCCUUUCAAGUUACCGGAGCAGUGAGGAUCAAGUUGCUAUUCAGUCAAGAGGAUCCAGGUCUAAGGAGAUCCUCGAUCCAGUUAUUAGGAGAUCUGGCAACAUCCCUUGGCCAGGAGACCAAUUUUGAGGCAUUCAAGGAUCGAGUGAGAUCCAAGGGAACCUCAUCACUUUACUCUUGCAUCUAUGCAAUCCAGACGUGUAUGUUGUCAAGGCCUGUAAAAGUACGAUCCAGAAGGUUGGCCCUUAUCUGGAUUUUCCGGAGGUAUACCGCAUGAUCCAGGAGUGUUUGGGCGACGACACCGACUUGAUGUUCACGGAUUUUAUUAAGGAGUUAAUUAAACGCAUAGGAUUUAUGGAAUCAAUGAUAUCAAGGUUAUUUGGGGAUCAAAUCGAGGACGAGUUGGUUUAAUGGUGAUGUCUAAGGGCCAAUCACGCCCUUGUCACCGGUUUGUUCUACGCCAAACUACUAAAGUUUCACUGGAAACUGUCUGCGAUAAACUGAUUAGACUGAUGCAAGACGAGUCAGAAGAAGUUAGGAUUAAGGCAAGUCAUGCUAUAUCGUGUUUGUUUUUAUAAUUAUUUAUUUUUAAUUUUUACAAAGGGGCACCUUGUACGUAAUAAUAAAAAACUAAAAAAAUUGUAGUUUUUGCAAAAAAUCAAAAUUUCGGUUUUUUACCAUUAACAUGUACUUUAUAAGAUCGUAAAUUUUGCAUAACUUUUUUGGUAUUUAAGAUAGAGCUUUUAUUUAAAAACUGUCAAGUACUCCUUGCGAACGGGCACCUUGCACAUAAUUAUCAAAACUAAAAAUAUUAUAGUUUUUAAGAAAAAUCAAAAUUUCUGUUUUUACAAUUAACAUGUACUUUUUUAGAUCGAAAAUUUUGCAUAACUUUUUUGUUAUUAAAGAUAGAGCUUUCAUUUAAAAACUGUCAAGUACUUCUUGCAAAGGGGCACCUUGUACGUAAUAAUCAAAAACUAAAAAAAUUGUAGUUUUUGAGGAAAAUCGAAAUUUCGGUUUUUUACAAUUAACAUGUACUUUUUUAAAUCGAAAAUUUUGCAUAACUUUUUUGUUAUUAACGAUAGAGCCUUCAUUUAAAA
rnacentral:lncRNA from 1 species